rnacentral:tRNA from 1 species
GGGCCUCUAGCUCAAUUGGCAGAGCAGCGGACUUUUAAUCCGUUGGUUGUGGGUUCGAGCCCCACGAGGCCUACCC